CUGAGGAAGGAGCAACUUCCAGAAAAUCAUGAAAAUCGGGUUACUCAAUGCUCCAUAGUGAAACGGGUGUCAGGUUUUGGACAACUUCAAAGGUUAUAAACAAGUGAGAGAGAUAGAGGAGGGUUUAGAUUUGCUUUACUGCCAAUGUCUGU